UACGUAGGGUGCGAGCGUUAAUCGGAAUUACUGGGCGUAAAGCGUGCGCAGGCGGCGCGUUAAGACAGGUGUGAAAGCCCCCGAGCUUAACUUGGGAAUUGCGCUUGUGACUGGCGUGCUGGAGUGUGGCAGAGGGAGGUGGAAUUCCACGUGUAGCAGUGAAAUGCGUAGAGAUGUGGAGGAACACCGAUGGCGAAAGGCAGCCUCCUGGGCCAGCACUGACGCUCAUGCACGAAAGCGUGGGGAGUAAACAGG
rnacentral:rRNA from 1 species